rnacentral:antisense_RNA from 1 species
UUUUUUUGAGACGGAGCUUCGCUCUUGUUGCCCAGGCUGGAAUGCAAUGGUGUGAUCUAGGCUCACUGCAACCUCCACCUCCCAAGCUCAAGCAAUUCACCUUCCUCAGCCUCCUGAGUAGCUGAAGGGGGAGGAUGGCUUGAGCCCGGGAGGUAGAGGUUACAGUCAGCCAAGAUAACGCCGCUGCACUCCAGUCUGGGCAACAGAGCCAGACAUUAUCUAAAAAAAAAAAGUGUUAUUGUAAAAUUUGCCCAAUAAUAUAGUCAAUACAAUAUAACUCAUACCAUGAAGCAACUGCUAAAAUUGCUAUUGCAAUCUUAGGCUAUAUUAGUAAAAGCAUACAUACAAGUAACAGGAGCUAAUAUUGCCACUGUAAUCUAUAAAGUUUAGACGACAAUCCUAGAAUAAAAUUUCAAUUAUGAACAUCUAGAUCGUAAGAAUAUG